rnacentral:sRNA from 1 species
CAUUGAUUCUUUGUUGUACUUUUUUGUAACUAAUUCUGUGAGAGUUGAGCUCAUUUUCUAGUUGGAAGAAUGUGACAUUUGUUGUGUUGGUAGUUUACCUAAUGCCCUUACCUAAUUAGAUUAUGAUAAAUAGGUUUGUCAUUUUGCAAGUUACAUGUUUUAAACAUUUAUAAAUGAAGUCAUCCUUUAGACUUGUAUUCGCCACAUUGUUUCAUUAUUCAGUUUCCUCUGUAAAGGGAUCUUGAGUUGUUUUAAUUUUUUUUUUUCUGCAUCUAAAUCUGCAUGAUUUCCAAACCCUGUACCAUCUGAAUUUUGCAUUUUAGCACUUGCACUAUUACUCAGCAGCAGUAACAUGGUAACACUUAAAAUGGUACUCGGGGACCUCCAAAGACUAAACUGACAAGCCUUCAAGGAGCCCAGGGGCUCACAGACUGGGAGUGAUUUUUCUCCUUUGGAGCUCGUCCAGAAUCCAUCAGCCUCACACACAUAUUUACCUGCAAAUCAUUGGAAAAGCAAAAAUGUUUAACUGCAUGUAUAAGAUGGUUGUCAUUUGCUUGAAUACCCCCUUGAAAAAUGUUGAUUCUUGAGCAUCCAUGGGAAAUAGAGGUGUCUGAAGAACCAUUUUACAUGAUUUCAUAAAUAGGAGGUCUCUGCAUUACCAUGUUUGCUUGCAAAGUGGAAACCUUUUAGAUGUGUAACUUGAAUAUGUAUCAAGAUCUCAAGUGCUUAAUGAUAAGGUUUUGACUUGUUAAAUUAAACCAUUUGGAAU